AGAGUUUGAUCAUGGCUCAGAUUGAACGCUGGCGGCAGGCUUAACACAUGCAAGUCGAGCGGAGAUGAGGUGCUUGCACCUUAUCUUAGCGGCGGACGGGUGAGUAAUGCUUAGGAAUCUGCCUAUUAGUGGGGGACAACAUUCCGAAAGGAAUGCUAAUACCGCAUACGUCCUACGGGAGAAAGCAGGGGAUCUUCGGACCUUGCGCUAAUAGAUGAGCCUAAGUCGGAUUAGCUAGUUGGUGGGGUAAAGGCCUACCAAGGCGACGAUCUGUAGCGGGUCUGAGAGGAUGAUCCGCCACACUGGGACUGAGACACGGCCCAGACUCCUACGGGAGGCAGCAGUGGGGAAUAUUGGACAAUGGGGGGAACCCUGAUCCAGCCAUGCCGCGUGUGUGAAGAAGGCCUUAUGGUUGUAAAGCACUUUAAGCGAGGAGGAGGCUACUGAGACUAAUACUCUUGGAUAGUGGACGUUACUCGCAGAAUAAGCACCGGCUAACUCUGUGCCAGCAGCCGCGGUAAUACAGAGGGUGCGAGCGUUAAUCGGAUUUACUGGGCGUAAAGCGUGCGUAGGCGGCUUUUUAAGUCGGAUGUGAAAUCCCCGAGCUUAACUUGGGAAUUGCAUUCGAUACUGGGAAGCUAGAGUAUGGGAGAGGAUGGUAGAAUUCCAGGUGUAGCGGUGAAAUGCGUAGAGAUCUGGAGGAAUACCGAUGGCGAAGGCAGCCAUCUGGCCUAAUACUGACGCUGAGGUACGAAAGCAUGGGGAGCAAACAGGAUUAGAUACCCUGGUAGUCCAUGCCGUAAACGAUGUCUACUAGCCGUUGGGGCCUUUGAGGCUUUAGUGGCGCAGCUAACGCGAUAAGUAGACCGCCUGGGGAGUACGGUCGCAAGACUAAAACUCAAAUGAAUUGACGGGGGCCCGCACAAGCGGUGGAGCAUGUGGUUUAAUUCGAUGCAACGCGA
rnacentral:rRNA from 1 species